CUGAGUUUAGGCUGUGGAUUGGCUGAUGGGCUCAUGAGUCUCACCUCUUCAGGACACUUCUGGGUCCUUGACUACCUCAGCUCCAAUGGGGGGAUUUCUCCCUCCACAUUCCAAUUUGAAUCUGUUGUGUAACAAGUAUUGGUGAGGCUGUGAAGACAUGGGAACUCUCAUGAGCUGCUGGUGGGACCACAGAGUGACCAGGACCCAGCAAUUCUGCCCCUAGGUGGAUUCUUUACCACUAAGCCACCAGGGGAGCCACAGCCACUCAGCUGGCAUUCAGUGAACAGCAGACACUUGCUGAAUGAAUGAAUGAACGUGUCACUCAGCACACUUGGGCGCCUGCCUCCAUGAGAAAGAACGCUCCAUUUCUUCAGCGUCUGGAUGGUUCUCUCAGAACUCAGCUGCGGGGACACCAAACCCUUCUCCUCACACACCCCUCAUUCUAAAUCCAGAUUCAUCUCUAGCCCAGGCACCCGACUUGACCGGAAGCACAUGGUCUUUAUCGAGGAGAGGAGGGCAAAUGAGG
ensembl:lncRNA